UAACGCGUAGGCGACCUACCCUUUAGACGGGGACAACNUUCCGAAAGGAGUGCUAAUACCGGAUGUGAUCAUCGUGCCGCAUGGCAGGAUGAAGAAAGAUGGCCUCUACAAGUAAGCUAUCGCUAAAGGAUGGGCCUGCGUCUGAUUAGCUAGUUGGUAGUGUAACGGACUACCAAGGCGAUGAUCAGUAGCCGGUCUGAGAGGAUGAACGGCCACAUUGGGACUGAGACACGGCCCAAACUCCUACGGGAGGCAGCAGUGGGGAAUCUUCCGCAAUGGACGAAAGUCUGACGGAGCAACGCCGCGUGAGUGAUGAAGGAUUUCGGUCUGUAAAGCUCUGUUGUUUAUGACGAACGUGCAGUGUGUGAACAAUGCAUUGCAAUGACGGUAGUAAACGAGGAAGCCACGGCUAACUACGUGCCAGCAGCCGCGGUAAUACGUAGGUGGCGAGCGUUGUCCGGAAUUAUUGGGCGUAAAGAGCAUGUAGGCGGCUUAAUAAGUCGAGCGUGAAAAUGCGGGGCUCAACCCCGUAUGGCGCUGGAAACUGUUAGGCUUGAGUGCAGGAGAGGAAAGGGGAAUUCCCAGUGUAGCGGUGAAAUGCGUAGAUAUUGGGAGGAACACCAGUGGCGAAGGCGCCUUUCUGGACUGUGUCUGACGCUGAGAUGCGAAAGCCAGGGUAGCGAACGGGAUUAGAUACCCCGGUAGUCCUGGCCGUAAACGAUGGGUACUAG
rnacentral:rRNA from 1 species